rnacentral:rRNA from 1 species
CACCCGAGACUCAGUGAAAUUGAACUCGCUGUGAAGAUGCAGUGUACCCGCGGCAAGACGGAAAGACCCCGUGAACCUUUACUAUAGCUUGACACUGAACAUUGAGCCUUGAUGUGUAGGAUAGGUGGGAGGCUUUGAAGUGUGGACGCCAGUCUGCAUGGAGCCGGCCUUGAAAUACCACCCUUUAAUGUUUGAUGUUCUAACGUGGACCCGUGAUCCGGGUUGCGGACAGUGUCUGGUGGGUAGUUUGACUGGGGCGGUCUCCUCCUAAAGAGUAACGGAGGAGCACGAAGGUUGGCUAAUCCUGGUCGGACAUCAGGAGGUUAGUGCAAUGGCAUAAGCCAGCUUGACUGCGAGCGUGACGGCGCGAGCAGGUGCGAAAGCAGGUCAUAGUGAUCCGGUGGUUCUGAAUGGAAGGGCCAUCGCUCAACGGAUAAAAGGUACUCCGGGGAUAACAGGCUGAUACCGCCCAAGAGUUCAUAUCGACGGCGGUGUUUGGCACCUCGAUGUCGGCUCAUCACAUCCUGGGGCUGAAGUAGGUCCCAAGGGUAUGGCUGUUCGCCAUUUAAAGUGGUACGCGAGCUGGGUUUAGAACGUCGUGAGACAGUUCGGUCCCUAUCUGCCGUGGGCGCUGGAGAACUGAGGGGGGCUGCUCCUAGUACGAGAGGACCGGAGUGGACGCAUCACUGGUGUUCGGGUUGUCAUGCCAAUGGCACUGCCCGGUAGCUAAAUGCGGAAGAGAUAAGUGCUGAAAGCAUCUAAGCACGAAACUUGCCCCGAGAUGAGUUCUCCCUGACCCUUUAAGGGUCCUGAAGGAACGUUGAAGACGACGACGUUGAUAGGCCGGGUGUGUAAGCGCAGCGAUGCGUUGAGCUAACCGGUACUAAUGAACCGUGAGGCUUAACCUU